rnacentral:rRNA from 1 species
UACGGAGGGUGCGAGCGUUGUUCGGAAUCACUGGGCGUAAAGCGCGUGUAGGCGGCCCACUAAGUCUGAUGUGAAAGCCCGGGGCUCACCCCCGGAAGUGCAUUGGAAACUGGUGGACUCGAGUCCCGGGGAGGAGAGUGGAAUUCCUGGUGUAGCGGUGAAAUGCGUAGAUAUCAGGAGGAACACCGGUGGCGAAGGCGGCUCUCUGGACGGUGACUGACGCUGAGACGCGAAAGCGUGGGGAGCAAACAGG